rnacentral:lncRNA from 1 species
CUGGGCAUUAAUGGAACUUUGUCGGAUCCUGUGGAACUUUCCUGAAGCCGAAUCGUGCCGCGGCUCCUUUGAAAUGCCUUGCUCUGGGGGCUUCGCCACCAGUCACCAGAGGUCACCUCUGCCAUCUGUGCUUCGCCUGCCUCUGCUGGGGGCUCCUGAGGCGUCUGCUGACUGCUUCAUCAUGCUGCUCGGCGCCGUCGUUCCUCGAUACAGGACACAGGCGGAGGAAUCUUUCUCUGACAAGCAACAAGAGGUAACCAUUGAGAGGGAGAUGACGGACCACAUCAUGGACCAGAUGACAAGAUCUGCAGACUGAGAAGAAUGUAGAUUGUACAAAAUAAAGAAACAAAUCACAUUCCGUGUACA